rnacentral:tRNA from 1 species
GACUGUUAAGUUCGACCGAACGUACGUUUUGAAAGCGUAGGGGUGCCUAUAACUAGGCAAAUAGUCU